GGAGGGAGGAGGAGGGAGGCGGCGAGGAGCCGACGGCUCCACCUGAUGGAGAAGCGCGGAGAGUCCCUAGACCUCGGAGUGCGCUGCAAGAGGGGAGAGGAGAGAGACCGCCGCUCCUGCUGGAAGCCUUCGCGUCUAGGGGGCGGCGCGCGGGGGAAGGGGCCUCUGGACAGUCGGUGGAGGCGGCAGCCCUAAAGAGACAGCCGAAAGCCAGCAACUUGGAAAACCGCCCGAAUUCUGGUUUUCUGCACAUCCAGGCUGGCUCCAGGUCUCUUGUGCCCACCGUGCAAGCCGGUGGGAUGCCAGCAGGUGGCAUCCUCUCCAGCGUUUCUUCGCCAGGCGUGGAGCCCGGAGGCCAAAUCCCUCAGUCCCCAGCCCCCUCCCCAAGCCUCCGGUGCCAUGUGCUGGGUCCGGUGAGCCCCUGGCCUCGCCCCCCACCUCCGCCAGCGGGGCGAGCCGGAGCUGGGUGGCCCAGACCUGCGCGGAGGCAGGAGCCUGCAGACGAUGCCGGCCGCCCCGGGUUCUGCCGCUGGCUGGCCAAGAAGUGACAGGAGGGCAAGGCUCCCCCGGAAAGCGUCCAAGCCCUGCUCUCCUGCUCUUCCAAGCCUUGCUGCCUGUUGCCCCCAGGGUUUUCUGAGAUCUGGGACGAAGAGAGUGAUGUGCAAGGUUCUGGGUCCCGGUGCAGGAAUGAGGGGUACGGUUGUCGAGUGCUUGGAGCAGGCUGGCGUUCGGGCACACUGCAGACCUCAGCUCACCGCCACUUUCUCCUGACCGUCCUCGUGGCUGUCAGCCCAAUGUCUAACAUGUGUUAUUCCCUCGGUUUGUCCAAAGGCC
rnacentral:sRNA from 1 species